rnacentral:rRNA from 1 species
UACGAAGGGGGCUAGCGUUGCUCGGAAUUACUGGGCGUAAAGUGUGCGCAGGCGGCCGAGCAAGUCGAGUGUGAAAGCCCCGAGCUUAACUUGGGAACUGCGCUCGAAACUACUUGGCUGGAGUGUGGCAGAGGAAGGUGGAAUUCCACGUGUAGCGGUGAAAUGCGUAGAGAUGUGGAGGAACACCGAUGGCGAAGGCAGCCUUCUGGGCCAACACUGACGCUCAUGCACGAAAGCGUGGGGAGCAAACAGG